GGCGAGAUGGCCGAGCGGUCUAAGGCGCCAGACUAAGGAUCAAUCACCUUCGUGUGGUACAUCUUCCAUUGGAAUUUCCAAAGGAAUCUGGUCUUUCGAGGCGUGGGUUCGAAUCCCACUCUCGUCA